AUUUUAUGAUGAAAUUUAUCCAGUUCUGCUACUGAUAUUAAAUGGAUGUGAAAUUAUAUCUGAAAUAU